CAUUUCAGAAGGAGAUUUGAACACUGUGGACUUGGCUUCAUUGGGCAGAUCUGAUUUGGGACGUCUGUUCCAUGGUUUGACUGGACAUUCAUCGCCAUAAUUUGAUGAAGAAAACUCAUCAAGGGAGAUCACCAUAAAUCUCAUACCAAUAAGAGAGGACAAUCCAAAUUCCAAAGAAAAUACAGGACGUCAGAAUGGAAGUGAGACUCCAGAUUUUUUUCGAUAUAUUUGGAGAUGCCCAACAAUUGGAAAUACAUACCCCUGAGAAUCAGGAGGAACAAGUGGAAACACAGGAAUCACCACCACAAGAAACAGGGGAUGUAAAUAUUGCAAAUCCACCAGCUGAUGAACUAUUGGCCGAUGUUGGCUUAACGGAAAUGUUGUCACUUGCCAGGCAAUAUGGAGAGGACCACAGGGACAUGCAGAAUGUUAUUAACAAUAAUAUUGAACGUUAGGCAGCCAUUUCCGAAAAAAGUAUUGAAAUCGAAAAAGAAAAAAUGGAAAUUGAAAGGCAAACAUUAAAUCUCCAAAGAGAAAUGUUUCAGUGGCAGAGGCAGAUGGACAAAGAAAAAAACAGCAAAUAAAUAGAGCCAUAAGCCUCACUAAAAGGACACUCCAAUCACUAUUAUCUAUUAUAAGUGAAAGGGAGGGUACA